CGGACGGGUGAGUAACGCGUGGAAAACCUGCCGUAUACUGGGGGAUAACACUUAGAAAUAGGUGCUAAUACCGCAUAAGCGCACAGCUUCGCAUGAAGCGGUGUGAAAAACUCUGGUGGUAUACGAUGGUUCCGCGUCUGAUUAGCUAGUUGGUGGGGUAAUGGCCUACCAAGGCAACGAUCAGUAGCCGGCCUGAGAGGGUGAACGGCCACAUUGGGACUGAGGCACGGCCCAGACUCCUACGGGAGGCAGCAG
rnacentral:rRNA from 1 species